GGGCCAGCGCGGCAGGACAGCGGGCCCUGCAGGUCGGGCGGCUGGUGCCUUACGGCGCGGGAGGCGGGCAGCGGGAGACUGGCAGCGCGCUGCCCCGGACCCCUGGCGGGGCAGGUAGGGACCCCGGGGGUCGCCUCCUCCCUGGUCCGACUGCUCCCCAGGCCGCACGUCCGAAGACCCGAGGCGAGGGCCGCGCAAGCCGCCGGGAGGGCGCGCGACCCGGCGCCCUCCCGGGUCGCCAAGUCCUCGGAGCCGGUGCCUAUACACUGGGACCGUGGGUUCCUUGCCUGAGGAGCCCCAGCAUCUUGGGGACUCCGCGGUCACCGGCAGGGUCGGGGUUCGGUGGCACCACGCCUACCCCCCCUGGGGCUGCUGAAGGGACGGAGGUUUCAGGAAGGUGGCACUCGAAGAGCACAGAGCCGUUCGGAAGCCCGGGCCAUGCAGAGCGGGACGGAGCGCCCCUGCCCGGGACUCGGCGUGGAGCACCGCGCGCACUCGUGGUGGCGCUUCUCCGCCUCAAAGCACUAUUCCGCCCCCAGAGGCGUCGCGCGAACGGUGGAAGCCUCUGGAGCCGAAGGGAGGGUCCGGGAUGAGUCACGCAGACCCUGGCCCGCAAGGACGAGCGGCUGAGUCACCAUCCAAACUUCUGAGCCUGGCCCAGCUCCUCUGUAAACUGAGCAAGGGGCUGAGGGGACACGACGUGCCCAUCUGCCGCGCUUCCGCGGCCGGGCGGGACCGGCUGGGCGCGGAGCCCGGGAAACCCAGAAGCGCCGGCCUGCGGGCCCAACAUGACCCGGGAGCUGGCGGCUGCUAGCGACAGCCACGACUCUGAGGAACUUCUUCCUCACACCGCCUUUCCGCCUUCCCCAUCCCUAACGGGCCCCACCUCUCCUUUUCUCCUCUUUUCUGAGGAAACUCGGGGCAGCCUAACUCUGACCUCGCCGCGGAGAGGGCGCGCGGAGAUAGACGAAUUUGCGUAGCGCCCGUGGCGCAUGCUCCGUGGUUUGGGCGGGGAGACUGCCUUAAGGGUGGGUCUGCUGAUUGGUCGGUGUGCACAGGCCACGCCCACCGCCUGCUGAUAGACAGCUCCUUACCUGCGCGCGCGGGGGCACGGUGGACCCCGCCUUCAGGGGAAUCUCCCGUGCCUGUGCUACCUAAGUGCACUGAGGCCUCCUAGCAGACGUCAGCUCCGAAGGAGGCCGCCCGUGGCGUCCCACUCUGCCAGAAAGUCAAAUACCGGAAUCUUAAAGUGGGAAAACUACCAAUCUAGUGUAGAAAGCAAAACACCACCGUUCAGGACUUAAUGGGCAGGUCUGGCCCAUAAUAAGCCUGGAGUUUAGGCAUGCAGUCAGUACUCAAUAAAUGCUUGCUGGAUUGGAUUGUUUUCCCAGUGCUCUGGGAUGCAGGAUGUAGCACUAAGUGAGCCUGACAGGCUGGAAGAUAAACAAAACAAUCGUGUGAUUAUAAAAACAAUUACUAACCCAUUUCCUUUACUGCGAAAUGAGGGAGUGGCCUAGACGUGAACCAGGCUGCUUCUGUUCCAGGAGUAGGGCUGGGUGACCCCAACAGGCAGAAGGCACUGCUUUCAUGGGGAGCUUGUGCUGCUUGAUAUGACCAUGCCCAUCUCAUAUAUACACCUCUGGGCUCCAUGGGAUAUGUCAGUUCGGUUCUUACCUGAACUGUUAGGUGCUAGUCUGAGAAUCCUAAAUUUUUAACCUUUGAGCUUCUGACUCCUGAAGAAGUUCCAGAUAGCAUAAAUCUUUGCCCCACUGUGUUACCUUGACUCUCUAAACCGCAUCUACUUCCAUAGACUGCAAAUAGAUUAUUUUUUUAUUAUUAAAAACAACAGAAGCACACAAUGUGGGUUUUUUUCCCUUCCUUUCCUUUUUUUGCUUUGUUUUGUUUAAGAAAUAUAUGAACACAGAAAAGAGCACGUAUAUCUGGAAAGUGAAGAGUUUACCCAUUUCUACUACUCCUAAAUUCUGUGCUUGCUUACUGACUCAUUAUAUUCUAGAAUUGGCAGAUUUUCAUUUAGGAAGCAGGGGAUGAUGCGUGGUGCUGACAGUAGUCACUGACAAUGCCUAAACAAGGACAAGUUCUGACAGAGAAGGAGGUAUGGAAAUGUGAACUAAGCCCAGGAAGACUGAUUUUCCCAGCAACUUAGAGCAGAGCCUCUUCUUCCCGGUGGAGUUAACAAAUGGGACAUUUCUUAGGUUUAACUUUGAGCAGAAAUUUGGUCCUUACACUUUUGGGUUGAAUUGUGUCCCCCCAAAAGACAUACUGAAGUUCUAACUUCAGUACCCGUGAAUGUGACCUUAUUUGAAAAUAGGGUCUUUGCAGAUGUUACCAAGUUACAAUGAGGUCAUAUUGGACCAGUAUAACAGGUGUCCUUAUAAGAAGAGAAGAGACAGACACAGAGAGAAGGCUUUGUGAUGACAAAGGCAGAGACUGGAAUGAUGCAUCUACAAGCUAAGGAACACCAAGGAUUGCUGGCACCCACCAGAAGCUGGAUGAAACAGGAUUCUUCCUUUGAGCCUUUGGAGAGAGCAUUGCCCUGCUGAUGUCUUAAUUUUGGAUUUCUAGCCUCCAGAACUGUUAGAGAAUAAAUUUCUUGUUCUAAGAGACCCAGUUUGUGGUACAGCAGUCCUCAGAAAGUAAUACACUUACCAAAGUCUGGUUUUUUGUUUGUUUUGUUUUGUUUUGUUUUGUUAUCCCCGCCAGUGUGGACCUAUAAUUGUGAGUUCUUACUGCAUCAAGUCCUGGAGAGAGGCUGUCACACCUUUACAGAAGGAGGAGCAUCAGCUCCAGGUGAGGAUGCUGCAUGGAAUGGGGAGGAUGGUGUUUAAAGUGUGGUGGAAGAUAAACCCAUCUACUAUAGCUUGAGGGAGUAACCCCGUUUUUGUUUUACCAAAACUGUAGGAAGAAAGCUUUCCUUUUUGCCAAGGAUGAUACUAGUAGGUAGUGGAGAUGAAAUAUAACUGCAGCCAGUUUUGAAAAUUUGCAUAUAAAUGACUGUACAACACCCAAAUAUUUAUAAUUCAAGCAUUAUCUAUGUUUUAAUGAUAACCUCUUAACUGCAUCAUUUCCUUGUCAGGUUUGCUUUAGGAUUUGUAUGUGUCUUAAUAAUACCUAAUUAGUUUAAAAUCUCUUACAGGUGUAUCCUGAAAGAGCACAUCUGUUUUUAGCCUAAAUAAAAAGUAACCUGUAAAGAGCAGUCAGUCCUGUGUUAGCAUCCAGGGAAGGGCAAAGGGAGCUUUCAUUCUUUAUUUUUGCAUUGAUUGAAUUUUUUUUAAAUAAGCAUCUUUUAGUUUUGUACUUCAUUUUUUUUCCUAUGAAAGCUGAACCCUUUAUUUUAUUUUAAAAAAUACGUUGAAUCCUUUUGUAUACAAGGCCUUACUAGGCGUCAAAUUUUAUAACAAUAAAAUUCUGAAGUUUCUA
rnacentral:lncRNA from 1 species